UACGAAGGGGGCUAGCGUUGCUCGGAAUGACUGGGCGUAAAGGGCGUGUAGGCGGUUUACAGAGUCAGAUGUGAAAUCCCCGGGCUUAACCUGGGAGCUGCAUUUGAUACGGGUAGACUAGAGUGAGAGAGAGGGUGGUGGAAUUCCCAGUGUAGAGGUGAAAUUCGUAGAUAUUGGGAAGAACACCGGUGGCGAAGGCGGCAACCUGG
rnacentral:rRNA from 1 species